GAUAAACGCUAGCUACAGGCUUAACACAUGCAAGUCGAGGGGAAACGAUAUUGGAAGCUUGCUUCCGAUAGGCGUCGACCGGCGCACGGGUGAGUAACGCGUAUCCAACCUGCCCAUCACUUGGGGAUAACCUUGCGAAAGUAAGACUAAUACCCAAUGACGUCUCUAGAAGACAUCUGAAAGAGAUUAAAGAUUUAUCGGUGAUGGAUGGGGAUGCGUCUGAUUAGCUUGUUGGCGGGGUAACGGCCCACCAAGGCGACGAUCAGUAGGGGCUCUGAGAGGAAGGUCCCCCACAUUGGAACUGGGACACGGUCCAAACUCCUACGGGAGGCAGCAGUGAGGAAUAUUGGUCAAUGGACGAGAGUCUGAACCAGCCAAGUAGCGUGCAGGAUGACGGCCCUAUGGGUUGUAAACUGCUUUUAUAAGGGAAUAAAGUGAGAGUCGUGACUCUUUUUGCAUGUACCUUAUGAAUAAGGACCGGCUAAUUCCGUGCCAGCCGCCGCCGCAG
rnacentral:rRNA from 1 species